rnacentral:lncRNA from 1 species
GCCUAGACCCAUGAACCAGUUGUGAACAAGUCAUCUAUUUGCAAGAAACCCAUGACUUAGAUCUUCUAUGCAACUCCUAAUGCUCCUAAGUCACGUACAAUGCAAAAGAUGCAAGCAACAAUGCUCAUAAAGUAUAAUACAUGGAAUGAGGAUAGAUAAAAGCGAAAUUAGAACAUCAUUAAAUAAAUAAUGAAUUCCAAUUUUAUUACAUCAUGUCAUGCUUUUAAGGGCUCUAUCC